ACAAUAGUAGAGCAAAAUUAUUAAGACAUGCGAAAAUUGAUAGAAUCUUUCAAGAUUCAAUGUACGUUAACGUAGUACGUUAAUAAUAGUAAAAGUAAAUUUCAAAAAAUAUUCUACUGUUCAGCUGUGAGAAAGUGAUCAUAAUAAUUUAAUAUUACUCAUGCAUGAGUUUAUAACCUGAAUUAGUAAAAAAGGUUUGUGUGGAUUCUAAACAUCUUCUCUCUUUGAAAUUUCAAGGUGAAAAUGUGUAACAGAUCGAGAAAUCCACCCAACAGUGAUCGACAAACUUCCAACAACAACAGACCGCAGGAAAUCGUAAGGCCAAUUGCACAACGCCCUGUUGCCAACAAUGCCGCAAACCGUGUGCAGCCACCAGCGGCCGAUAAUCCGGCUGUCUGGGGGUCACAUUUUCGAAACCGUGAACAUUUCUUGAGCCUCCACAACGCUUGAUUGGCGUUUGUGUAGAGAGCAGAAACAUGUUUACUACGAAAUAAACCUAGAAAAUUUGAAAA